GAAACUGGGGUGCCCUGAGGGGUGGAGGCAGAAGCCAGGCUGAAAGGAUGCCGUCACCCUCCUUGCCACCCUGACCGCUCGCCAUCGGCCUGCAGGCUCACGCUUGGUGUUCCCUCCAGCUCUGCAUGGCCCCUGACUACAGCCAUUUUUCCAGCUUCUUUCCCAUGGUGGUGGGGGCAGUGAGUCGAGUCCUCACCUGAUUCCUGCUAGAGCAGUGCUCACCCCCAUGGGGAAACUGAGGCUCAGAGCAAGAGUGGACUUGCAUCAGGUCCUGUAUGCAGCUAAGCCAUCAACCAGGGAACUGUCCUCUGCCUGAGGGUCCAGGAAGAAGCACGGUGCCUCAGCAGCAGCAGAGCCGGACCCCAGGGUUCCAACGAGAAACCUCAUCUGGUCAGGAGAGACCCAGUUAAUCUCAGGAAGGCUGAGAGCCCCCCACUGCUCUUCAAGGCCUUCCAGGUUGAAGGGGUCUCAAGUCCUGUGUGGCUCCCAAGGCUCACUCUGCUGACAGCCAAAACCUCUGGAGUGGAUCCAUGCUUGCUCCUCUGGAGUGGAUCCAUGCUUGCUGGCCUGGCCAAUUGAGUGGGGACUCGGGGCCCACCCUGGUGGCCCAUGGGUCCCUGAGUGUGCUGGAAGCAUUCCUGCCCUGGUUCUGGAUCCCUCCGCCUUGCAGGGCCAGAGGCUAGGUGGGCCUGGGCCUAUGCCAACUCUCAGGGUGAGCCCAGGUGACUGAGCCUCCGGACAGUGGCUCUUGGUAUCCUGAUCCCAAAGCUGGCCACCCUCCUGUAGAGAAUUGGAUGAGCUCCCGGAAACUGAGUGGGGGAAAUUUGAUGCUUUGCCGCUUUUCAGGGUUCCUUUCAGGCAAGAAUGGGAAGGGCUAAUGGAGGGCACUUGGUAAGUGCGGGUUCCAGCAGCCACAGGCUCAGCAGCCCUCCUGAGCACAGCUGGAGGGAGGCCCUGACCCCACGCGUGAGGAGGCUUGUGAGUCGUUCCAGAGCCUUCUCUGGCUGAGCAGUCAUAGGUGGGAGGCGGCUCCCUGCGGGGGGUAGGAGAGUGACCGCGGAGAACCUGCAGCUGAGUCUUAGGCGUCUGUGGGGCUGGUGUCCCAGCCUGUUCCAGGUGCAGACAUGCCCGGCUUCCCAGCCGCCCCUACCGUGCAGCUGCGCAUUCCUUCCUGAGUCAGCCCCAUGCGUCUGUGUCUUUCCCUCAGUGGAGUCACCUGCGGUGCACCCAGCCGGACCCUCUGCUAGGGUGACCCUGAGUCUGGUUCUUAGCACCCCCCAGGCUAUGCUGGUCAAGGGGCAUCCCCUUCCUCUCGCAGUACGCAGACACAGCAGCGGCCUGAGUUGGGCCCUUCUGCUCCCACCCCCGCCUGCCCAGCCUUUCAGAAGGUGAGGUCUGGAGGCGGCCGCGCCACCCUUGACUGCACGUGUCCCAGGCCACGGCUUAUUUGAUUUUCUUAGUGCUCAUGGUUUUGGUUUAAAGGAAAGGAUUCUCAGAGGUGAAGACCAGAAGCCAUGAGUGGAAAAACCCCACACAGCAGCUGGCAGCUUCUUCUCUGGCCGGCAUUCAUUUUGCAUUAAACUCAAAAUCUCAGCCUGAGAGGAGCGGAAGACAGGAAAAGCCUCUGAGAGUGAACCUCCAGCUUUGAUUGUCGGAAGGAUGAACGGGGACCUCUGGCCUCACCCUUCCGGGAGCCCCUCUCCAGCCCUGGAUCUGGGUAGGAGAUCUCUCUUCUACCUGUGUCUCUGUUCUUGCAACUGCCAGGAGCACUGCAAGCUCCCAGAUUGGGCUGAGUGGGGCCAGGUCCUUCCUGCUGUCUUCGCUGUCUGAGAUUCACUGCACCGGGCUCCCCUGCCCUCUGCAAGUUCUGAGCAGGCCUCCGGCGUUGGUACUGAAGUUCAAGCUCUAACACUUCCUGCCUCCAAUCAGCAGCCUGAAAACCUUCCUUCUUUCACUGGGCUUCCCGCUAAAGCCCAGCUCUCGAGUUAGCUGGGUUGGCCAUCAAGAGGCUACGUGGACCCUUCUGCCUAGCACUCCAUAAUCGUAUUUGGUGAGUGUCUGUGUCAGGCACUGUACUAGGGGCAGAGGCUUAGGAAUAGGGAAGGCGAGCCAUCAGAUGACCAUGUCAAGUGAAAAACAGUGUGUGGUGUGAAUGUGGGAAGAACACACUCACUUCUACCUAGAGGGGUUGAGGAAAGCAUCUCAGGCAGUUCUAGCUGCCUGGCAGCAUCCUGGGAGAAGCACCCUAUGAAUGACACACGCCUGUCAGAGGCCUGCGGGAUGCAGGGUAAGGGGGUGGGGUGAGGGUUAUUCAGCAACAGGAACCCCAAGGUGAGACACAGUGUGGGGCUGUGAAGGACUGGGGCCACGUGCCCACAGCAGGAUACGGCAGGACACCAUUAGAAGGGUCUCUUUAGAUCCCAUCCCAGAGGCAGAGAAGGGCUGCAGGGUUAUAGGGUCUUGACACUGGGGAAACUCACUUCUUAUCCAUCUGCAAACCCCGUCAGUGCCACCUCCCAAAUCAAGCUGAGCACGACAUCCCUUGACCUCACACUGGUCAUUGCCCUGUCAGGGCCAGUAUCCUCUGUGGAAUGGUGUGUACAGUGCCCAUCUGGCCUUUCUGCUCUGGCCCUGCCCUCCUGCAGCUCAGAGGGGCCCUUGGAAAGCCAAGGCAGCUGUGCUUUCCUGCAGCUUGGCACCCUCCAAGGGCCCCACCUCAUUUACAGUAAAGUCAAAAAAUGAGGUCCUGAGGUGCACCAGUCCUGCACCACAGGCCCCUGCCACCCCCACUCCUAGGUCCUAUCCCUGACCUCUGGCCUCUCUUCAGCAGCAACAGCCCCAGCUCUUCCCAGACAAACUGCACCAGCUCCUCCCUUGGGGACACUGCACUGGCUGAUUUAGCCAUGGAGAUGCCCAACAGUUGUAAUGAUGCCCCUACCUCCUUCCAGUCUUGGAUGUAGUGUCACCUUCCUGGUCUGUGGUGGGCACUCUGUGGGGGUCCCCAUGGCUCCUGCCUCCUGUGUUCAGAUCCUGGUGUAACCCAGCCCUCUGGUGUGACACGGCCUGUGUCUUGCUUCCACCCUAUAGAGUGGGCUGGCUGUGAUGUCGUGCCACACUUGUGAGUGCAUGAUGUCAUGAAAGACUGCAUUUUCCCAGCAGACUCACUCUAGGGAAGUGACCACCUGGAGCAAGUUUGCUGGAAAAACAGAAUCUUUGAUAACAUCAUGAAUAACUUUGAAUAACCAAGUUAUCCCCAUAUAGAAGGAAAUUCUGCCAACAGCCUGAGUGGGCUUGGAAGGGGAUUCUUCCCCAGUCAAGCCUCCAGAUGAGAACACAGCCCGACUGACAUCUGGAUGCUGUUUCAUGUAAGCCUAGGCAGAAAACCCAGCCAGCUUGACCAGACUCCUGAUGGCAGGACAAUGAGUUCAUAAGACGGCUCUUUCCAGCUGCUGAGUUUGUGAUAAUUUGCUUCACAGCAAUAAAAACAUUCUAUGCAUCUCAU
rnacentral:lncRNA from 1 species